rnacentral:rRNA from 1 species
GUUCUGGGCCGCCGCGCGCUACACUGACGGAGCCAGCGAGUAUAAACCUUGGCCGAGAGGUCUGGGAAAUCUUGUGAAACUCCGUCGUGCUGGGGAUAGAGCAUUGUAAUUAUUGCUCUUCAACGAGGAAUUCCUAGUAAGCGCAAGUCAUCAGCUUGCGUUGAUUACGUCCCUGCCCUUUGUACACACCGCCCGUCGCUACUACCGAUUGAAUGGCUUAGUGAGGCUUCCGGAUUGGUUUAGAGAAGGGGGCAACUCCAUCUUGGAACCGAGAAGCUAGUCAAACUUGGUCAUUUAGAGGAAGUAAAAGUCGUAACAAGGUUUCCGUAGGUGAACCUGCGGAAGGAUCAUUACAGAAUGAAAAGUGCUUAACUGCAUUUUUUCUUACACAUGUGUUUUUCUUUUUUUGAAAACUUUGCUUUGGUAGGCCUUCUAUAUGGGGCCUGCCAGAGAUUAAACUCAACCAAAUUUUAUUUAAUGUCAACCGAUUAUUUAAUAGUCAAAACUUUCAACAACGGAUCUCUUGGUUCUCGCAUCGAUGAAGAACGCAGCGAAAUGCGAUAAGUAAUAUGAAUUGCAGAUAUUCGUGAAUCAUCGAAUCUUUGAACGCACAUUGCGCCCUUUGGUAUUCCAAAGGGCAUGCCUGUUUGAGCGUCAUUUCUCCCUCAAACCCUCGGGUUUGGUGUUGAGCGAUACCUGGGUUUGCUUGAAAGAAAGGCGGAGUAUAAACUAAUGGAUAGGUUUUUCCCUCUUGGUACAAACUCCAAAACUUCUUCCAAAUUCGACCUCAAUCAGGUAGGACUACCCGCUGACUUAAGCAUAUCAAUAAGCCGGAGGGAAAAAAACCCACGGGGAUUGCCUUAAUAACGGCGAGUGAGCGGCCAAAGCUCAAAUUUGAAAUCGGGCCUUUUCCGGGGCCGAGUUGUAA